rnacentral:rRNA from 1 species
AUUGAACGCUGGCGGCAGGCCUAACACAUGCAAGUCGAGCGGCAGCGGGAAAGUAGCUUGCUACUUUUGCCGGCGAGCGGCGGACGGGUGAGUAAUGCCUGGGGAUCUGCCCAGUCGAGGGGGAUAACUACUGGAAACGGUAGCUAAUACCGCAUACGCCCUACGGGGGAAAGCAGGGGACCUUCGGGCCUUGCGCGAUUGGAUGAACCCAGGUGGGAUUAGCUAGUUGGUGAGGUAAUGGCUCACCAAGGCGACGAUCCCUAGCUGGUCUGAGAGGAUGAUCAGCCACACUGGAACUGAGACACGGUCCAGACUCCUACGGGAGGCAGCAGUGGGGAAUAUUGCACAAUGGGGGAAACCCUGAUGCAGCCAUGCCGCGUGUGUGAAGAAGGCCUUCGGGUUGUAAAGCACUUUCAGCGAGGAGGAAAGGUUGGUAGCCAAUAACUGCCAGCUGUGACGUUACUCGCAGAAGAAGCACCGGCUAACUCCGUGCCAGCAGCCGCAGUAA